rnacentral:rRNA from 1 species
GAACGGCUGCUAACACCCGAUGUGCCGAGAGGUGAAAUAUUUAUAGCCUGGAGAUGAGCUCGCGUCUGAUUAGCUAGUUGGUGGGGUAAGAGCCUACCAAGGCGACGAUCAGUAGCUGGUCUGAGAGGAUGAUCAGCCACACUGGAACUGAGACACGGUCCAGACUCCUACGGGAGGCAGCAGUGGGGAAUUUUCCGCAAUGGGCGCAAGCCUGACGGAGCAAGACCGCGUGGGGGAUGAAGGUUUGUGGAUUGUAAACCCCUUUUGAUUGGGAAGAAUACUGACGGUACCAAUCGAAUAAGCCUCGGCUAACUCCGUGCCAGCAGCCGCGGUAAUACGGAGGAGGCAAGCGUUAUCCGGAAUUAUUGGGCGUAAAGCGUCCGUAGGUGGUUUAGUAAGUCUGCUGUCAAAGCGCGGGGCUUAACUCCGUAAAGGCAGUGGAAACUACUAGACUUGAGUGCGGUAGGGGUAGAGGGAAUUCCCAGUGUAGCGGUGAAAUGCGUAGAUAUUGGGAAGAACACCGGUGGCGAAAGCGCUCCUACUGGGCCGUAACUGA